rnacentral:rRNA from 1 species
GAUGAACGCUGGCGGCGUGCUUAACACAUGCAAGUCGAACGAUGAAGCCCAGCUUGCUUGGUGGAUUAGUGGCGAACGGGUGUGUAACACGUGAGUAACCUGCCCUUGACUCUGGGAUAAGCCUGGGAAACUGGGUCUAAUACUGGAUAUGACUUCUCAUCGCAUGGUGUGGGGUGGAAAGAUUUUUUGGUCUUGGAUGGACUCGCGGCCUAUCAGCUUGUUGGUGAGGUAGUGGCUCACCAAGGCGCCGACGGGUAGCCGGCCUGAGAGGGUGACCGGCCACACUGGGACUGAGACACGGCCCAGACUCCUACGGGAGGCAGCAGUGGGGAAUAUUGCACAAUGGGCGGAAGCCUGAUGCAGCGACGCCGCGUGAGGGAUGACGGCCUUCGGGUUGUAAACCUCUUUCAGUAGGGAAGAAGCGAGAGUGACGGUACCUGCAGAAGAAGCACCGGCUAACUACGUG